rnacentral:siRNA from 1 species
GAUGAGGCCAUUAGUGGCUCCC